ensembl:lncRNA
UCUCCUCUCCUUUAGCAUAGUGUACACUGGCCCAUCCUUUAACAAACAUUUAGAGCAGCACACCAUUCGGCUGAUCAUGGAAUCAAUUACUCCCCUACAAUCAAUCAUAGUAAUUGGGAUCUAUGUGUGAGCAACUAUUAUCAAUAUGACAACUAUUUUGUUUCCCUUUUGUAAAAUGGGAGCCUUUAUUGAAUUUCAUUUAAUCAUCUGCACUGGGGCUGUCAUUGUUAUACAGCCUGCAUGAAACACAGAACGAAUGCACGGGCGAAGUACCCAAGAUGCGCCUUUAGUGUUCCAUCUUCUCUACAUCGUAGUUUCUUCACACCGUCCAUAUCUGCCGUUGCAUAAUGACAGCCUUGAGUAAGGGCAGUCUAAGCUCCGCGGUUGUCUUUUCCUACGUCCUUGUGAAUUAUCCUUCACAUCUUUGUGUGACCGCAUGAUUUUUUCCAUCGAGGUCAAGGAAAAGAGGUUCGGAAAGGACAUAUUCCAAAAAAGUAUGUCCUAUCGGACAGGAACCUAUACUUCUGCUUGUUCCAUUACCCCUUUCACAUGACAUUACCCAUCAUGCACUGGGACCAUGGGUCUUCCCUUACCUGACCCGAUCUCACUUUGUAGGUUGUGUCAGGUAAGAGUAGGAGAUGGAGGGACAAAGAGAGAAUAUAACGUCGAGAAAUAGAAAGAGAUGGAGGGGCAGAAAGAGAGAGAAUGAGAUGGAGAGAGAGAAUGAGAAGGAGAGACCAGAGAGGGAGAGAAUUAACAACAUCAAAGAGUCCGUCAACUUCCGCCCCGUCAUCAACUUUAUUGAAUGACAUAACAUUCAAGUAAGUCUCAGCUUCAUUGCUACAAUCCGAUCAUUAGUAGUGGUCAUCGUAGACGGCGUUGAUCCGAGACACAAGUAUACAGGGCCUGUGUGUAUACUGUUCACCGCUUCACAUUAAAGGGGACAUACUAUACCACCAGGUGUGAGUGUGAUUAGCCUUACAAGCCGUUUCAAAAAUCUGCCCCAUAUGACAUCACUAGUGGGCGUGUCCACCUAGAUCUGUGCUGGAUAGAUGAGCAACGUUUACUUCAGUCCACUGGGUAGGCCGGUAAACUGAUCUAUCCGGCACAGAUCUAGGUGGACUCGCCCACUAGUGAUGUCAUAUGGGGCAGAUUUUCGAAACGGCUUUUUAGGCUAAUCACACUCACACCUGGUGGUAUAAUAUCUCCCCUUUAAAACCUCCAGAAUAAACAGCUUGAACAGAAAAACAAAAACUAAAGAUUGCAUUGUAUUAAAAGAGGAAAUUAAAAAGUGACAAAACAAAAAGUAAGAAGAUCAGAAGCUUCACUGGCAAGAUUUUAAUUGUUUUCACUCUAAUCAUUCUCAUUCAGAUCAUGUUUUCUGUUCGAUUAACCCAACCUCAUUAAGUCAGGCUAUUCUCAAUUCUAACACAUUGUGCAUCGUUAGUACAAGAUCAAAAAGUGCCGUUGUACUUGGUAAGUCUGUAUGCCGCCGAUCUCUACAAUAGGAUCGAUUGACCUUGUCGCCCUGGGUACCAGGUGACCUCUCAGCAUGGCGGUUAAGAGUCCGGCGCUAUCCAAUCGGACGCCUCCUCUGCUCCCACUGAGCAGCGGGUCAAACGGACCAAUCGCGAGCCGGCAGGCAUCUUCGUUACGCCUCUACAAUCUGCCCUCACCAAAUCAAUCACAACUUUAUCGACAAUUUGUAACUUCCCAAAACAAUUAUUCCCUCCCCAACCCCGCCCUCACCGUUUGCAUUGUAACGAUUGUAUUGAGAUCACACCUACCCUCCAACCCCCCGGCCCCCCCACCC